rnacentral:lncRNA from 1 species
UGGACGUGAAAGUGGUGGAAAAAUACAUGCUGGACCGAGCUCCGAGAAAAUUAACAAAAAAUGGCAGAAAAUCACCGUGCUCAUUUAUUAAUGCAUCUUGAUCGUGUCAACAGCCUCAGAGAGAUAGCCAACAGGCCCAGACCCUGAUGGGAUUACAGAAAUGAAUGAAUCCUUUUGAGUUGUACAUGGAUGAAGCCUUUCGAAUGCGG